GAUGAACGCUGGCGGCGUGCCUAAUACAUGCAAGUCGAGCGAACAGACGAGGUGCUUUCUCCUCUGACGUUAGCGGCGGACGGGUGAGUAACACGUGGAUAACCUACCUAUAAGACUGGGAUAACUUCGGGAAACCGGAGCUAAUACCGGAUAAUAUAUUGAACCGCAUGGUUCAAUAGUUAAAGACGGUUUUGCUGUCACUUAUAGAUGGAUCCGCGCCGCAUUAGGUAGUUGGUAAGGUAACGGCUUACCAAGGCAACGAUGCGUAGCCGACCUGAGAGGGUGAUCGGCCACACUGGAACUGAGACACGGUCCAGACUCCUACGGGAGGCAGCAGUAGGGAAUCUUCCGCAAUGGGCGAAAGCUUGACGGAGCAACGCCGCGUGAGUGAUGAAGGUCUUCGGAUCGUAAAACUCUGUUAUUAGGAAAGAACAAAUGUGUAAGUAACUAUGCACGUCUUGACGGUACCUAAUCAGAAAGCCCCGGCUAACUACGUG
rnacentral:rRNA from 1 species